CCCUUAGAUGUUCUGGGCCGCACGCGCGCUACACUGAUGCAUUCAACGAGUCUAAAACUUGCUCUGAUAGGGGUGGGUAAUCUUUUGAAUGUGCAUCGUGAUUGGGAUAGAUGAUUGCAAUUUUUCAUCUUCAACGAGGAAUGCCUAGUAAACGCAAGUCAUCAGCUUGCAUUGAUUACGUCCCUGCCCUUUGUACACACCGCCCGUCGCUCCUACCGAUUGAAUGAUCCGAUGAAUAUCAUGGAUUGAGGAUGCAAGCAGGUUCGCCUGUCUUCAUCUUCGAGAAGUGAAGUAAAUCUUAUCAUUUAGAGGAAGGAGAAGUCGUAACA
rnacentral:rRNA from 1 species